rnacentral:rRNA from 1 species
UACGUAGGGGGCAAGCGUUAUCCGGAUUUAUUGGGUUUAAAGGGUGCGUAGGCGGGUUAUCAAGUCAGCGGUAAAAUCGUGGAGCUCAACUCCAUCCAGCCGUUGAAACUGAUGUUCUUGAGUGGGCGAGAAGUACGCGGAAUGCGUGGUGUAGCGGUGAAAUGCAUAGAUAUCACGCAGAACCCCGAUUGCGAAGGCAGCGUACCGGCGCCCAACUGACGCUGAAGCACGAAAGCGUGGGUAUCGAACAGG